rnacentral:misc_RNA from 1 species
CCGAGUUUACAACUCCCAAACCCCCUGUGAACUUAUACCUUAUACUGUUGCUUCGGCGGGUUCUCGCCCCGGGACAGGUUCUCUCUUGAGCCAGCCCGGAACCAGGCGCCCGCCGGGGGACCCCUAAACUCCUGUAUUUUUUUACUUUUACAUGUCUGAGUGGAAUCAUAUAAAAUGAAUCA